CUUUUAAGUUGUCUUAGUCACUUUUCUCCAACAUAGGGUGACAUGGCAGAUGGGCAUCACAGAGGAGAAAGAGCCCAUGGUGUAGCAUGAAGGCAGCAAGUAGCAGCAGCCAGCCUGCCUUCUUUCUGUCCCUUUCUAUUCUAACUGGGCUAGAAACCUAUUAAUUGAUGCCACCCAUACCCAAAGUCAGGCUUCCAUUAUCCAGACCCUUAACCCCUGUAUCACACCCUUAGUCCACAUUCACACACUCUAAUCCAGCCACCUUCAAAGCUCCCCACCUGUGACCACAAGAGGCUUCGGGGGUGUCUAGAUAUAAGCCAUAAAUAAAUCAUUAUUUUAACUGAUCACAUCUUUGGAGCACGGUGUGAUAAUUCAAUGUACGUAUUCAAUACAUACUGGUCAAUUCAGAACAAUCAGCAUUCCACAUCGCUGUCAUUUCUUUGUGUUUGGAACCUUGAGCUCCUCUCUUCUAGUUAUUCAUAACACGCAGAGUUGCUGUGAACGCCAGUCCCAGAGGUACACCAGGAUGAAGGGUUUGAGACUACCAGACAGAUAGCAUCUGAUGGACCUUCCAUUCCAGGCUGCAGGACAGGAUACAGCAACCUCUGGCACGGUGUCUAAGGUAUUUGAAGAUCUACUUCAUUGGAAAAGAAGAUGGUGCUCAGAGAGGGGUCCAUGCAGUACUCCAUACAAUGAUGAGGUGCAGCUGAGGUGA
rnacentral:lncRNA from 1 species